CACUCACGUUUUCUGCACCGGCUUGCGCCGCUUGCGGCUGGCAUAGGUGAUGUUGGCGCCGCUGCUCAUGGUGCCCGCGCCCUGCCCGCUCCACCUGCGUCCCGGAGGCGGCGCCCGGCCCGCGCUGCGCCCAGUCACAAAGAAACUGGGAGUAUUAAUACCUGGUCCCAGAUCUCCAGCUAAGACAGAGUCCAGAGAACUUUGCAGUAUUGUCUAGCGUGAAGCAAGUACAUCAGGAUCUGGGACUCUAGAGGGAAACGUGACAUUUCCAUGACACGGGGACGAGUUGGUUCCAGCUUUGUAGCUGCCUCGUGUUGCGUUUGGCUGUGGUCAAGGAUCAUUGGCGUCCUCUCUUUAAAUGCAUUUGCACACGUGCUGUGACAGUCUGUGAGGCACUGCUGGCCCACUGCUUCGUUGGGGAGAAUCUGUUCAAUGUUUGUCUGUGUGACUCGCCUGGCUCAGAAGUUUUGAGUCAGAAGUGAAACACGUAGCUAAGGCAAAGAGAAUUUUAAGAAGUGAAACCUGAAACAAUAAAACCAUUCAUAACACAAAAUUACUUAUGCUAUUAUUGUAAGUGACACUUACAGGGUAUUUACUACAUGUCAACUAUGAAAUACUUCAUAAAAAUUCGACUGGUCUAAGAGAUUUUCGACGCAGCGGUCACUGCAGCUGCAACUGUACCUAUGUGACUUGGCUGGCGAUCUCCCAGCCAAGUGGGAUUCUGCUGACCUGUGAAUACCACACUCUUCCACAGAACUGGGCACUUCCCUUACCGCCAGGCUUCUCCAGCUUCUUGGUAAUUGCUGUUUCCCACAGUAGGGAGCACCAUCUGCAUCUGCUGUGGAUAGAAUUGCCUUCUCUGCAGUAAUCCAACAACCCAGAGACGUGUAGGAAGAGCAGUUCACCAAUCUCUGUUGAAUGGAUUAAUCUCUAAAGAAGCAAUACACUUAAGAAGCAGCGAGACUUAAAGAUGGUGCAGACGAACAGUCUGUGAACAUUCUUCUUCCAGGCUUCCACAGGGAUCCCUGCUCCCCGACACCAUCACCCAAGCCUGGCUUUUGAAAGAGGCGCAGCUAGGAAGUGCACAGACUGAGAGACAAAGCCAGGCUCUGCACAGAGAAGCCAUGCUCCAUAAUAUACUAUAGGAAGCACUGUAACUCUUUAGUAAAGGCUCGAGAUUCGAGAUUCUGGAUUCAUUCUUCUGAGCAAGGGCAUUCUUGAACACACUGCCCUUGGGGCAGGCUGAUUUUCUCCAUCUCCUUUAUUCCUCAGGGCUUUGUUGCCAACCCAAAUAAGAACAAAUAAAGGAAACAGAGCAGCUGAUUUAGGAUUUACUGAUCCCACCCUUCGCCCUCCCCUCUACCCUUCCACUCUUCUGUAACAGCACCCCACCUUGGGUUCACCAUGCUUAAUUUGUUAGAGCGAAGUCAGGGAAGAGGAGUGGUCUACUCUGUGGAGAUGCUCAAUAAGCUCGGGAAAGGUCAUACAGUUAGCUUGUGAAAACCGACUCAGGCCUUUCUGAAUGGACUGGUCACCAGGUGAAGGUCUGUCUGGAAGAUUAAGCUAUGGAGGGUGAUGUGGGUGGAGCCAUGGGGAAAAUUAGGUGCUGACAAGAAGCACAGAGGAUUUGUGGCUGUGGAUAUAGCUCAGAAGGUGAGCCCUGAGUGUGUGCAAGGCUCUGUGUUCAGAGUGGGGAGCAGGACAAAAGGGGAGAGGGAGAAGGAGAGGAGGAAAUAAUUAAACUUUUAUGAAGAGCAUACAUAAUAAUUAAUGCAAUACCACAGUUUUACAAAUAUAUAUCCUUAGCUAGAAAUAAUGUUUGCUACAUCUUUAAAGCAUGAAAUGUAGAAACUUAUUGGAUAUUUUCAUGGUAGGGUAGGAAUAAGCUCAAUUUACUCAACACAAUAGGUGUUUUUCUGCUUCUGUGCAUGAGUGUGUGUUAUAUUUGUGUAUGUGUUCAUCUGUGUGUGUUGGGGUGCACAGGUAUGGGUGUGCAUGCCCAUGGAGUCCAAAAUUUGAUGUUGGGUAACUUCUUCAAUCACCCUCUGCCUUUUAAAAAUUAUUUUAUUUUUAAUUGCUGGUAUGUGUGUCUAUAUGUGUGUAUGUAUUCAUGAAUCCAGGUGCCUACAAAGGCCAGAGGAAGGUAUCAGAUCCCCUAGAGCUGGAGUGACAGGUGGCUGUCACCUGCCUGAUGUGGGUUCUGGGGGCUGAACUUGGGUUGGCUGCAAUGACAAUAUAUAAUUUAUAACUGCCGAGCCAUCUCUCCAGCUUGAUCCGCCUUAAUUUUUGAGAUGUGUUUUCCUUUUGAACCUUAAAAUCACGGCUAAUGGCACACUAACUGGCCAGUGCACUUCAGGGAGCCUCUUGUCUCUACCCCCUACACUUAAUGAAUUACACGUACCCCGUUUUUAUACAGGGUUUGAGAUCCAGAUUCCAGUCCCCAGGAUUGAGUGGCAAACACUUUACUGACUGAGCCACCCCCCCCACACACACACACCAGUCCUAGCUUUAAGAAUAGACAACAACGUGAAGAAAACAGCAGAAAUCCUACAGGGUUCACAAGAGCUCAGGAAGAAAGACCAUGAGGUGAAGACUCACUGCCAUGAACAUCAUCAUGGAAGCGAUCACUAGAAAUAAAUUUACCAAGAGAGACAAGCAAAGACACCUGCAGGGGAGGGGUGUGGGAGGGGAGAGGGAGGAGAGGUGAAAUAGAGACGUCUUCUGUAGGAGCCUCUCUUAUUCUAAAUUCCCAACCAAAAGAUGGGAGUUUCACAACGGCAAUAAUUAAACUCUCGGACAACAAAGGAAUCAAGAGGAGAUAAUUAAGAAAAAGCUUUGAAUUAAUCUAGAAGAAAGGGCCCCAAGCACAGCGGCGUUUGGCUGAUGGAAAGCAGCCAGAAGCUGAUUAAGCAAGGGGAGGGGAGGUUAAGGGAGGAGGGGAGGUUAAGGGAGGAGGUGAGCACACAUUACUUUAUAAAAGAUGUGGGGCAUAAAAAGUAGGAAAGAAAUAUAAUUGUGGGAAAUGUCAAGGGCAUUAGGUUAACACAUAAAAAAGCAAUGCCAUGAUAAAGAAGAAUCUAAUCUCCCCACAUUCUGAACUCCUCCCUCAUGGCAGGGUAGAGCCUUGGGAAGCUCAUUAACCCCGAGAGGGCACUGGGGUAUUGUCUAAAUCACCGCAGCUCCUGUGGCUGACAAAGCCUAGGAGCUAUCAUUCCCAGCACAAGGCAGAGGAUUUCCUGCCAUAGUCCAGAGACUCCUUCAGAGAUCAGGACACCAUUCAAGACAGAGUGAGGACCCGCGUUCCUAGAGAAGUACGCAUUUACAAGUAACUGUCAAAUUCACACACAAAUUGCCAGGCUGAUCAUCACUGGGUUAUUUUAUA